GCUGCCUCUGAAUCUGUUGAAUGGUUUGAAGCCUCCCCUGCAUUUUGUUCCCGAGACUGAGGAACAGAGUCGUCUGAGAUGGUGGAGAUCUCAGACAACCCGACUGAAGAGCACAGCCCUUGUGCUUCCUCCCGGGCUCCACCCCCAGGACCCCAAGCAAGGUUCCACAUACAAACCCCAUGCUUCCUGCAGGGAUGCUGAUGGGCGCUGGCAUGGGGCUUCCUCACAUACAACCACCAUGCUUCCUGCAGGGACGCUCGUGGGCGCUGGCAUGGAGCUUCCUCACAUACAACCGGCAUGCUUUCUGCAGGGACACUGGUAGGCGCUGGCCUGGAGCUUCCUCACAUACAACCGCCAUGUUUCCUGUAGGGACGCUGGUGGGCUCUGGCCUGGGGCUUCCUCACAUACAAACCUCUUGCUUCCUGCAGGGACGCUGGUGGGCGCUGGCCUGGGGCUUCCUCAUAUACAAUCCCCAUGCUUCCUGCAGCAACGCUGGUGGCGCUGGUCUGGGGCUUCCUCACAUACAAACCCCAUGGUUGCUGCAGGGAUGCUGGUGGGUGCUGGCCUGGGGCUUCUUCACAUACAACCGCCAUGCUUCCUGCAGGGACGCUGGUGGACACUGGCCUGGAGCUUCCUCAUAUACAACCGCCAUGCUUUCUGCAGGGACGCUUGAGGGCGCUGGCCUGGGGCUUCCUCACAUAGAACUGCCAUGCUUCCUGUAG
rnacentral:lncRNA from 1 species